rnacentral:rRNA from 1 species
UACGGAGGGUGCAAGCAUUGAUCGGAAUUACUGGGCGUAAAGGGCGCGUAGGCGGCUGAGAAAGUCAGAUGUGAAAUUCCGGGGCUCAACCCCGGAGCUGCAUUUGAAACUUCAUAGCUAGAGUAUAGUUAGGGAAAACGGAAUUCCACGUGUAGCGGUGAAAUGCGUAGAUAUGUGGAAGAACACCGGUGGUGAAGACGGUUUUCUGGGCUAUAACUGACGCUGAGGCGCGAAAGCAAGGGGAGCAAACAGG